UUGCAGCUCAGCAGUGCCACCUCGCCCACCAACAACGAACUGCAGAACAAAUGGACAGAAGGCUAAAAGUCAUUCUCUACUAGAACACUGAAGGAGGAUGACAUCGGUUCCUGUCUGCCUAGCUGUAGAAGUGGCUUUCCUAGGAUCUGCUUUGCAGGUCCCCCAUUCAACCAAUGUCACUUUUUCCUGGCUACCUGGGGAGGAGCAAGCCUCAAAAAGUAGCAAGAACAGGAUUUGUACAAUAUCCUCUCUUUCUCUGUAUUAGGGUGGGGGGUGUUUUGGGAACUUGAGCCAAACUCUACUUUGGUUUGGCUCAAUAAAUGAGUUAAGUGUAGGGAAAAUUUUGGAAUUAAAGUGCCUUGUUAGAAAGAUCUUGAAUAACAUUGAAUAAAAGUACUGGGGUUCUGGGAUAGAGUUAAGAAUAUUGCUAAGAUGUAGUAGUAAGUUGCACACACUGCCAUUCCUGAGCUAAAGGAGGACGUCAUCAUCAGCAUCGAUGGACUAGAAGAGUGAAGGAGAUAUGUAAUAACUCGUGGAUGACUGUCUAUUUAUAUAUACUUUGUAUGAGACAGUGAGUUGCAACAGUGUUCAGAAUGUUUGCACCCGUCUUGUAAGAGAAAAGACGGAACACUGACUGAGAAAUGAUUUUCAUUCAUCCAUCUUGUAGGUGAUAAGAUAGAAUAAAAAUACUUUUAUUUUCAGUCAUCCAUCUUGUAUUGGAGAAGAUGGUACCUGAAUAUUAUAUUCAACAUCUUUCAUCUGUCUUGUAAGUGAUAAGAUGGACUAGUAGCUGUGGCUCACGUUAAGAACUUAG